rnacentral:tRNA from 1 species
AAAAUCUUAAGUUAAUUAAACUAAUGGCCUUCAAAGCCAUAAUUAAAGUAAAUAUUUUAGAUUUUA